GAUGAACGCUGGCGGCGUGCCUAAUACAUGCAAGUCGAGCGAACGGACGAGAAGCUUGCUUCUCUGAUGUUAGCGGCGGACGGGUGAGUAACACGUGGAUAACCUACCUAUAAGACUGGUAUAACUUCGGGAAACCGGAGCUAAUACCGGAUGAUAUUUUGAACCGCAUGGUUCAAAAGUUAAAUACGGUCUUGCUGUCUCUUAUAGAUUGAUCCGCGCUGCAUUAGCUAGUUGGUAAGGUAACGGCUUACCAAGGCAACGAUGCAUAGCCGACCUGAGAGGGUGAUCGGCCACACUGGAACUGAGACACGGUCCAGACUCCUACGGGAGGCAGCAGUAGGGAAUAUUCCGCAAUGGGCGAAAGCCUGACGGAGCAACGCCGCGUGAGUGAUGAAGGUCUUCGGAUCGUAAAACUCUGUUAUUAGGGAAGAACAUAUGUGUAAGUAACUGUGCACAUCUUGACGGUACCUAAUCAGAAAGCCACGGCUAACUACGUG
rnacentral:rRNA from 1 species